GAUGAACGCUGGCGGCGUGCCUAAUACAUGCAAGUCGAGCGAACGGACGAGAAGCUUGCUUCUCUGAUGUUAGCGGCGGACGGGUGAGUAACACGUGGAUAACCUACCUAUAAGACUGGGAUAACUUCGGGAAACCGGAGCUAAUACCGGAUGAUAUUUUGAACCGCAUGGUUCCAAAGUGAAAGACGGUCUUGCUGUCACUUAUAGAUGGAUCCGCGCUGCAUUAGCUAGUUGGUAAGGUAACGGCUUACCAAGGCAACGAUGCAUAGCCGACCUGAGAGGGUGAUCGGCCACACGGGAACUGAGACACGGCCCAGACUCCUACGGGAGGCAGCAGUAGGGAAUCUUCCGCAAUGGGCGAAAGCCUGACGGAGCAACGCCGGGGGAGUGAUGAAGGUCUUCGGAUCGUAAAACUCUGUUAUUAGGGAAGAACAUAUGUGUAAGUAACUGUGCACAUCUUGACGGUACCUAAUCAGAAAGCCACGGCUAACUACGUG
rnacentral:rRNA from 1 species